GGAGCGAACGGUUUAUCCCGGCCCCGCACCGCCAGCUCUGGGCGCCAUCUUGGGUGCGACUAAAACAACAAGUCUAAAACCCCCGGCGGGUCCCCGCGGCGUCCCCGGGCCGCGCUGCCCUCCCGGACCGUCCCAUCGCGUUACCUGAGGGGGUCCCGUGCGGGCGCCGCGCCCCGGCCGCUGCCGCCGGCCCUGCAGCGGCCCCGAACCCCCCCACCUGUCCUCACCUCACAAUGGUAGCUGCAGAGCGGGGGGGGAGGGGCGGGUGGCCGCCCGGGCCUCAUUACCAUAAUCUGCCUGGCAACAAGCCGCGCCGUCGCGCGCUGAUUGGUUGAAACUCCUCCGCCAGCCACGGUAGGGCACAGAAUUCCCCAAGGAAAGGCUUGGAGCGCCCAGAUGUCUUCUCUACCACAGCUGUGGGACUCAGCUUAUUUAGGUUGGAAUGGUUUGUUUGCCUUGAUUCAUGAACGACUGACUGCCAUCUUCAGAGGUUAAACAUCGCUUCAGUCUUCACGGACUAGAAGAGAUAAAGGAGACUGGAUGCCAUUGCAGGAAGAUACGUCUCACCGAGCAAGAGGAUGAGAGUUCACUAAAGAUUUUCUGCAAAGCAGCCUCUCCUUCCUCUCUCCCCAACACGUCUUCUCUGUGCCUUUACUUGUAGACCUCUAGAACCUCAAUCUUUGAGUUCUCUCUUGAAGUGUCACAUUCAAUGUUUGUGUUCAGUUCCUUGGAGAAGCAUCAGGUGUUGCUGCCAGUGCUCAAAGCCUCGGAUCCAUCUGUAGAGAGAAAAUGAGCAGCAUAAAUUCCCAGUUUGUGUAUUAGCUAAAAAGGUAGCUAGUCUCUGCUAUUUCUGUAUGUGGGAUCCUCAGUCUGAAUGUGGGCUCAUUACUCUAUUGAAUUAUAUAUCAGAAGUAAUUUCUUUUCCUGGGAAGUGAAUCCUACAUACAUACAAAUCUAUUCCAAAAUGAAUUCCUCCCGUCUCUCAGAUGUUGCUUUUGCCUUGGCUAGUCUUCAGAAAAACAAAUUGUCCAAUUAAAUUCACCAAUGGUUUUGCCCCCCAUCUAGAAAUGAGAGGAGGUCAUAGAUUUAGCACAUUUUCUGGAUGCUGAGAUUCAUAUGCAGAAUGUUGAAGGAGCAGCAGCUUUCCUUAGCAGCCACUCUCUUAUGCUGCCCUUAAGCAUCCUGGAUUGAUGCAUUUUUCAUUUUGCAAUGCAACUGAACCUUUCUGUGCUGGUGCUUCAGCAAAGCUGUAAUAUCUCCAAACCUAAAAAAAGGUUAGGUUAAUUUCAGUUACAGGAGUAUUAAUGCCAGGCUUGUUUCCUUAACAGUCUGUUACAUGCAAUAGGCAAGGACUGUGCUGUUUGAGGUGAAUACAGCACAAACUCCUGUGCAGAUCUGCCCACUUCAGACAUGUCAGUGGAAGCCAGAUGAAUGACACUGUUUCAGGCAUGGACCAGAGCAGUGGGAAAAAGGCUAGCAAGAGUUAAGGAUUUAUUGGAAUAAUGAAAAGUAGAUUUUCUCCCUUCCCUGCCAAUCCCUUUUAAAGAAGUCUCUGAGCAGAAACAAAGGCUUACUGUCCACCACCAUUUACUAUGUCACUUCUUUUCACAGAUUUCUGUGCUGUUUUUGUCACGUCUGCAGUUAUUCCAUUUUUCCCUGUUAUUCUCCAUCCUUUCACUCUUCUGAACUUCACUGUAUUCCUCUACAAAUCACCUUUUUGUUUUUAAGCUCCUGUCUGCCUCUCAACGUUUCUGCAUUUUUUGUUACCAUAUUUCUAUGGAGCAUCUUUGUUCUCACUGUAUAUCUUAAGCCCAGUUUCUUCAGCAGUUUCCUUCAUCUCACUGCUGCUGGACUUCCUACAUCUUGUCCCCACUGUGUCAUUUUCAGUCACAAAUGGAAGGCUGAGCUGCAAGGCUGCAAGAACCCUAGACUUCCACACAGAAGUGCUGUAGACAAAUACAGAUGCCCAAUUCCAGGCAGUGAACUGAGCACUGAUGGCCUUGGCUCUUGAAGAGGAAUAUCCUGUGUUUUAGCCUCACUGCAGGACUUCAGCUCUAACACCCUGGUGUAUCUACAGUUCAGGACUAGGAGCAGGUGAGGAUGCAGCUAAGUUUGUACCUCAUACUUAUCAGAGAGACUUCUCCAAGAGUCACUAGAUUUGAAGUUUUUCAGAAAAACAAGGAUCACACUGUUGGAGUCAGUGCUGUGAACAUAAAUUCUCACCAAGCACUAUGUAAAUAUUAAAAGUAAAUUAAUUUAUAUAGCACUUUAAAUACUAUAUAAAUUCAACCUCGAAUGAAAGUCCCAUCCCAAAGAUUUAUAAAGAACUUGUACAUUUUGGACUGGGGGAAAAAA